AUUAAGAUGGCAGAGCCGGUAAUUGCAUAAAGCUUAAGCCUUUACUCCCAGAGGUUCAAACCCUCUUCUUAAUA
rfam:Sarcophilus harrisii ctg7180001851422, whole genome shotgun sequence.